rnacentral:rRNA from 1 species
AUUGAACGCUGGCGGCAGGCUUAACACAUGCAAGUCGAGCGAGCGGCGGACGGGUGAGUAAUGUCUGGGAAACUGCCUGAUGGAGGGGGAUCACUUCUGGAAACGGUAGCUUAUACCGUAUACCAUCAGAUGUGCCCAGGUGGGUUUAGCUAGUAGGUGGGUUAAUGGCUAACCUAGGCGAAGAUCCCUCGCUGGUCUGAGAGGAUGACCGGCCACACUGGAACUGAGACACGGUCCAGACUCCUACGGGAGGCAGCAGUGGGGAAUAUUGCACAAUGGGCGCAAGCCUGAGGCAGCCAUGCGGCGUGUGUGAAGAAGGCCUUCGGGUUGUAAAGCACUUUCAGCGAGGAGGCGUUACUCGCAGAAGAAGCACCGGCUAACUCCGUGCCAGCAGCCGCGGUAAUUC